UAAGGGCGCACGGUGGAUGCCUUGGCACUAGAAGCCGAUGAAGGACGUUACUAACGACGAUAUGCUUUGGGGAGCUGUAAGUAAGCUUUGAUCCAGAGAUUUCCGAAUGGGGAAACCCAGCAUGAGUUAUGUCAUGUUAUCGAUAUGUGAAUACAUAGCAUAUCAGAAGGCACACCCGGAGAACUGAAACAUCUUAGUACCCGGAGGAAGAGAAAGAAAAUUCGAUUCCCUUAGUAGCGGCGAGCGAAACGGGAAGAGCCCAAACCAACAAGCUUGCUUGUUGGGGUUGUAGGACACUCUAUACGGAGUUACAAAGGACGACAUUAGACGAAUCAUCUGGAAAGAUGAAUCAAAGAAGGUAAUAAUCCUGUAGUCGAAAAUGUUGUCUCUCUUGAGUGGAUCCUGAGUACGACGGAGCACGUGAAAUUCCGUCGGAAUCUGGGAGGACCAUCUCCUAAGGCUAAAUACUCUCUAGUGACCGAUAGUGAACCAGUACCGUGAGGGAAAGGUGAAAAG
rnacentral:rRNA from 1 species